rnacentral:rRNA from 1 species
UACGGAGGAUGCAAGCGUUAUCCGGAAUGAUUGGGCGUAAGCGUCCGCAGGUGGCUAUGUAAGUCUGCUGUUAAAGAGUGAGGCUCAACCUCAUAAGAGCAGUGGAAACUACAUAGCUAGAGUGCGUUCGGGGCAGAGGGAAUUCCUGGUGUAGCGGUGAAAUGCGUAGAUAUCAGGAAGAACACCGGUGGCGAAAGCGCUCUGCUAGGCCGCAACUGACACUGAGGGACGAAAGCUAGGGGAGCGAAUGG